CUUUCCUGGUAAAUAAAAACAAAUAAUAUUUCAUUGAGUCUAGGUGAGAAAAAUGUAUUACAUUAAAACAGUAUGGGUCACAAAAUCUAAUUUAAUAAAAACCUUUAUUUAAAUAUCAAAUAUAUAAACUUUACUAUAUAACAUUAGGAAGAUAUUAAGAAAUACUCAAUACUUAUAUUUCAGAGUUUAAGGUUAUAAAACAAAGUUUACUUAUAAACUGUAAGUUUAUAGGAAAAGACUACAUUUGGUGAGACUUGAUUACAUUCAGUUGCCGAGGAUCUCAGCUAAAAACACCUUUGAACAUCUGCCUCUACCUUCUGAGUUCUGGUGUAGUGUGUGUGUCAUCAUACCUAGUUGGGUGUGAAUUCUUAAAAGAAAGUUUUUUUGACAGGCUGACCUUGAACAACUCUCCUACCUCUGCUUCUACGAGGAGAGUUGAGGACAGUUAAACAGUCUUAGUGUAUGUAACACAUGUGCAACCAUAACUGGCCAUUAUUGUAACUUUUAAAGUUUUCCUUAAAUGUUAAUUUUUAAUAACUUUUCAAUUACUUAAAAGGAUCCAUCACUAUGAACAUUAAAUCAGGGGGAAUUGGAAACAAAAAGUUAAAAUGUUUUUACUAUCACCAAAAAUAAUGAAGAAAUUUGAAUAACUCAAUUCCUGUCUGGGUUAGAAAGAAUGUAUUCUGAAAUUUACUCUCUUGUUCAACAUUGGUAACAAGAAAAAGUUAACUUCUGCUCUAAUCUUUCCCAAGUAGAUUAGUGUCACAUUUGACACAUGGGACUCAAACUAUUAACUCACUGAUAUGGUCUUAAGCCCUUUGUUGUGGUCUAUAGUCUAUUUGAAACAAGUACGGCUGGCUUUUUAAGAAGCAAGAACCACUGACUAGGGCUGAACCUUUUUUUUUUUUUUUUUUUUUUGGUGUGAAAUGUUCCAUACAUAAACUCUGAGGAUAAGUUUGAACUCACUUUUAAAGUCAGAUUAUGGGGCUGGAGAGACAGUUAAGAGCAUUGACUGCUGUCCUGAGUUCAAUUCCCAGCAACCACAUGGUGGCUCACAACCAUCUGAUGUCCUCUUCUGGUGUAUCUGAAGACAGCUACAGUGUACUCAUAUAUGCAUAAAAUGAAUAAAUCUUUAAAAAAAAAUCUAAAGCCAGAUUAAAUGUCAUUUCUUCCACAAAAGUACUCUCCCUUCCCAGAGCUUACUUUUCACAGGUCACUCUUCUAACUCACACUUGCUUAGACUUCAAUCACAGCACUUCUUUCAAUAAAGUCAGGUGCUUAAAAAUGACAAAUUAGUAAAUGCAAAACACCAGUGUAUCCUAACAUAUAACUAGGGACUUUCUAGUCACAUUAGGCUUCAGCUACUGCAGCUCCACUUCCUACUGGAGAGCCUCUUAGCACAUGACAAGCUUUCUUUCUAACCCUUUUGAGGGUAAACAGGGAGGCUUAGAGAAUUCACUAUCUUACACAAUGUCACCUGUAUGAAUUCUUAAGGCCAGAAUUGAAAUUCACAAUUGUGAAGAGCUUCCGGGCCUCUUGGCAAGAAUCUGACUGUGGGCUAGGACAGGGAAGUAGGCUCAGAUAUCUCAGUCAUCCUUAGUCUAAGGCCUUACAAACAGUGAUCACAGGGCUUUGUUUAUGGCCUUGAUUGUUCCUCGACUAUCUGUGUUUAUUGUCUUGCUUGUUCCUUAACCUAGAACUGGCUUUAUUAUCUGCAUGUAAUUAAAAUGGUAUAAAAGCAGACUGGGAAAAAAUAAGCCAACCCGCCCCAGCCUCAGAACUGGUCGGGUCAGGCUACCGAGUGGUCUAAUUGUCUUUUCUGGUUUUUUUUUUUUUUUGUUUUUUUUUUUUUUUUUCGGAGCUGGGGACCGAACCCAGGGCCUUGCACUUCCUAGGCAAGCGCUCUACCACUGAGCUAAAUCCCCAACCCCGUCUUUUUUUCUUUUCAAUCUUCGCUCCUGCCCUGGAGAGCCUGUUGACUGACUGAGCUGGCUUGGUCACACAACUGCUUGAUAAAAAUCUAAAGUCCUUCAUUUAUGUCCUCACCAAAAUUGUGUUUUCCUCCACUUUUCCAGUCAGCAUUUAACUAGUCAGUUCUACUUCUGUACUAGUAUCUGAGUUCAAAAUAAAUUCCUUUAUAUUUCAAAUACUCUUUCUUUUCACUUCUACUAAUAUUGUUAUCCACACUAAAAACUGGGGCUUCAGUGAGCUGCAUUUCUCCUGUGCUGAUCAUUCCUGCCAGGUCAAAUCUCAGAGUCUACCCAGUGGGCUCAAAAAACACUGCUUCGGGCUGGAGAGAUGGCUCAGCGGUUAAGAGCACCCGACUGCUCUUUCAGAGGUCAUGAGUUCAAUUCCCAGCAACCACACGGUGGCUCACAACCAUCUGUAAAGAGAUCUGAUGCCCUCUUCUGGUGUAUCUGAAGACAGCUACAGUGUACUUACAUAUAAUAAAUGAAUAAAUCUUUAAAAACAAAACAAAACAAAACACUGCUUCAUUGGGUUUUUCUUUAGAAAUGCAUUUGGGCCUCCUCCUCUGACUUCAGUAGUAUUUCACAACACCCUGUAUUCACUUCUGCCUACAUCAAGCCAGCAUUCUUCAUCUACGCACAGCUUUAAGGCAUACGAUAACACCAAAGUCCUUUAAAGUUAAUUACUUACAACUAAGACUAACAUAAACAGACUCUUCAACUGUUAAUUUUUUAACAAAAUUAAUUAUGUAUUACAAAAUAACUUCAACACUCACAUGACUAAUAUGUAGUAAAAUGGGUGGUUAUUUCAAAAUUCUACAGAGAACUUAUACAGAAAGAGAGCAUCAAUACACAGACACUGAGAACUCCCGGGAGUGAUGGUGAUUUGGAGCUGAUUAUAUUUUGACCCUCCAAGUGACAACUUUUAUUCAACUAUAUUAAAAAGAAGUCAGUGCCUUUUUCUAGUGCGAUCUCAGAUCGACUUUAAUAAGUCUCCAACAAAUUGAUUAGGGUUGGAAUGUUGUGUUUUAAGAACCUGAGUCAACAGCAUUUUCUAAACAAUUUCAAAGAUAAAUUUGUUAGCCACAUCUUGGACUGUUCUUUUAACAUUUACUAUUCCUUCAGGAAAGUUCUACUCUCCACGCACACAAACAAAAUGGUCUGCUUCCAGUGUAAUACAAUUAAGUACUUAGCACAAUGCCUUGGAUAUAAUUAACAGAUAAGAAGAGUAGGAGAAAAUACUGGUUUUAACUAAGUCCAAAUUCAUAUGAUUUGUUUUGGUUUUUCUUUUUUGGGGAGGUGAUGGAGGGCUGAGGACCAUUUAGGGUCUUGGUCUUGUGUGUUUACCACUGAGCUGCCCUUCCAACAGCCCCCCCCACCCCCAUUUUAAGAGACAGGAUUUCUCUAUGUAUCCCUGGCUCUGGCUUUCCUGGAACUAGCUCUGGCCUCCAAUUCAGAGAUCUACCUGCCUCUGUCUCCUGAGUGUUGGGACUCAUUCAGGUGUGUGCCACCACUGCCUGGCACUCUUUAGUUCUUGAUUUUGGGGUGACUAGGUCUUGGGUUGCCUCUAAACUUACUGUGUAGACUGGGCUGGCCUGACAUUCACAAAGCUCUUAAUCUUAGUCUCCCAAGUGCUGAGCUUACAAGCAUGCCACCAUACCCAGCUUACAUGACUACUAAGAGGUAAUAGUCACAUAGUAAAAGUGGGCUGACAAGAUGGCUCAGCAGGUAAAGGCACUCACUAAACAGAAUUUGGCCCACACAGGAAGUUGUCCUCUGACCGAUUCAUGUGCAUGUGUACACACACACACACAACGUGAAAAAAGAAAUACAUAAAGUAGAAUCUCUGCAGACAAAUCAAAGCUCUAAGAGAAAUCUAAACCUAGUUAUCACAAAGUGUAUAUUCAAAAAUCACCGGGUUGGGGAUUUAGCUCAGUGGUAGAGCGCUUGCCCAGCAAGCACAAGGCCCUGGGUUCAGUCCUCAGCUCCGGGAAAAAAAAAAAAAAAUCACCUGUAACUCAAUGUUUCCUUUAGGAAAACCUUUAAGAAGGUAGAAAAAUAUUCUUUAAGACAUGGUAAAGGGGUUGGGGAUCUAGCUCAGUGGUAGAGCGCUUGCCUAGCAAACCCAAGGCCCUGGGUUCAGUCCCCAGCUCCGAAAAAAAGGAAGAAAAAAAAAAAAGACAUGGUAAAAACAGAAACACAAACAAAAACAAAAAAACCCCUCAAGAAUAACAACAAUACAAAUGAGAACUUUGAAAGAACAAUGUCCAGGCUGAGUAGAUUACAGUGUAUGCCCAGGACUCCAGCCUUUGGAGGUUGAGCGUGUUUUGUCUGUAACUUUACCAUUUCAAUGCAAAGGCAGGUAGAUCUCAAGUUCAAGAUACAAAGCAAGUCCUGGUAGGCCUGAAAGAUACCAAGGGCUCUGCCUUGAAAUAUAAAAAGCAAAAUCUUCAGAAAUUCUCUGUGUUUUGAGUCUAUACUUUUAACAAACAUAAUUAUGAGUUGAAGGAGGACAGGACAAUUAAGACUGAAUCUGUUUUUUCUAUUGAAAAUUAGACUUAAGAGCAACUUUAAAUAAUCAGGCAUGACUAUCUCUGGUGAUAAGAAUAAAUACUUGGCUGGGUGGUGGUGGUGCUCACCUUUAAACCCAGCACUGGGGAAGCAGAGGCAGGCAGAUCUGUAAGUUCCAGAACAUCCAGGACUACACAGAGAAACCUUGUUUUGAAAAACCAAAAACAAAAUAAAUCAAUGUUAAUAAGUGUUAACUGUUUAGCUGUUUUAGAAUCUUCUGGAUUUUUGCAUGUUAAAAUCUAUUUUUAUUUUUGAAAUUUUUACUUCAAUGGUACUCCUAAAAUUUUCAUUAAUGCUAGUUAGUGAAAGUCUUGAAAAAGAUCUUUCCCUCUAGGUGUUAUUUGAUCGCUAUAAAAUCUUUGAUUCCCUUGAUGUAAUAAUACUUCAAGUCUGGUUAUUUAGUUAAGUAUCUGUGAGUAAUAAUGCGCUAUUUUAAACAAAUAUAUGAACAAUGGAACCACCUGUAGCAUUUGGGCAUUAUGAACGAUCUCCCUCCCCUCAACCCAGUGAAGACUGCUAUUAGAAUCGAAAUGGACAGAGUUUUGAGGAACACACAGGACAAAAAUGCAUGCAUUUACACAGAGUAGAGUACUAGGAGCCUUACAAAAACAUGGCUAUGCUAAUCAUUUAAGAUAUUGUGUAUCUGGAGAGACACCCAGAGUUCUCUCUCCUUUUAAUUACUUAAGAGUUAAGAUAUAGAUUCCCUUUUAGGAAAAUGAAAACACUCUUAUUCACUACUAAAUAAAAAGCAUAUGGUUACAACUGAGAGUCUGCUUAAUGUUGAGAUGAAGAGUGCCUUACCUUUUUCUCCUGUUCUGGAAACAGUACCUAGAACAGAAGAAAAAAGUAAAAUAAACAUACUUUAUACAUGAAGUUUAUUUCAGGUUGAAUAUUUAUCUUAAUUUCAUUUUCAUAAAACUUUAAAAACAUUCUUUUAUCAUUAACAAUAUAGCUACUUAAAAUUUUUAGAGCUCUUUAAACUUCAGGUGUGUUGACAGAGCUCUUUAAUGCUUUCCUUAAUCUUAUGACAAGAACAGGACUAUUCUCUUUAUUAGGACUACAGUACACCUUGCGAACCUCUUUCAGAAAACUACAUUCAAAAUAAAUUUCUUUUGAGCCUGGAAGAUGAUUCAGUUAGUAAAGUACAGAGAUAUAUGCUCUGUCCCCAGCACCGGAGUGCCAGAGGUGAGCACAUGCAGUCCUAAUUCUGAGUAUAUAGUUACAGGCAGAUCCCUGGGUGGCCAGUCAACCUAGCCUAAUCAGUGGUAUAUGGAAUAGGGUGUAGAGUGGGGUAUAGGGUAGGGUACGGGGUUUGUGUGUGAUAAGUAGACACAGUUGGACAUGGUUGGACGGGAAGAAAGAACAUAAUAUAAACAAGGGAGGACAGUUCCCAAGAGAAGAGAUCCAAGAGUGACUUCUAAUCCACACACACACAUAUACAAAUUUCCUUUUAACUGAUGCACAGUGACUAUACCUAUUUAGGGAACGAGUAUAAUAAUUCAUGUAUGGAUGGAUCUAAUAGAUGGAAAUUACGAAAGCCACAAUUGGUCAAAAUGCAGAGAAGAACUAACUGUGGAGUGCUCCUCUCUAAUUAAUACACAACACAACCCUACAGCUAAGGCUCAGCGCACACUUCAGACAAGGGAGAAGACUGUUAGAGCUAGAGGACCAGAUAAAAUAACACUCUUAUAGUGAAUCAGAAUGCCUAUCAUCACUGACGAUGACACACACAGAUGAGUCAAAAGGAUGUGAGGCAGGCAAACACAGGUUAUUCAUCCUAGGAGUGUACUUCGUUUUGGUUAUGCACACACAUUUCAUAAUAACUCACUUGGCAGCCUAGUCCCUUCACCUGUACAUUCUAUGCAUACACAUUCUUCUCCUAAAAUAUACCUAGCAAUCACUGACCCUCCCCCAAUCAGGCUAAAUAAAACCCAUCUUUGAACAACAGUAUACAUUUCCUCCCUCCUAGUUAACAACUGAGCUUAGUUUCUACUCAAAUGUAUUCCUAAUGUAUCUGAGUAAGAAUAACUGAAGAGGGAGUUGGGGAUUUAGCUCAGUGGUAGAGCGCUUGCCUAGGAAGUGCAAGGCCCUGGGUUCAGUCCCCAGCUCCGGAAAAAAAGAACCAAAAAAAAGAAUAACUGAAGAGCCAAUCUGGUCUAAACUGAUUUGAGGUGCAUGCUUUGACCCCUAGGAAAAUUCACUAUUUGCUAUAUUAUGCUUUUAUAAGAUUAGAUAUGCAAACACUUAAAAUCUCAGAUGCGUUAUGGGAAAGGACAUACAUACAGAAAAAUGAUAUGACCCAUCACCAAAACAGAGAACAUCCUCACCAUAUCCCAUAGCAACCAAACUACUCCUGAACCCUAUAAACACAAGCCCCAAGUAACUGGGUCCUUUAGUGUUCAAUCCGGGGUCUAGUGUCAGUUCUGACAGUGCACCCUCUAUAACAAUCUGCACCACCACUUUUAUUUUUCGUUGAAUAAAAUGAUCUUGCUACUUUUGCAAAUUUGUUUGACCCCAAUUUCAAAUGUUCCGGUAAGAGAUGGGAAACAACCAACCCAGAUGACAAGUACCUAGGAAACAGUCACCACCAGUACAUUCCCAGCCUUCUUGGUAGGAACAGGCGUGAAGUCACAAAAGGGUUUGCUACUUUAGGUAUGUAUUUCCAUACUUUAAAAAAAAAAAAGCCUCCUUGCAGGCUGGAGAGAUGGCUCAGAGGUUAGGAGCACAGGCUGUUCUUCUAAGGGUUCAGUUCCCAUCAUCCACAUGGCAGCUCACAACCACCCAUAACUGCAGUGCCAGGGGAUCGACGCCCUCCCAGCACAGCAUGCAUGUGGUGCACAAACAUAUAUGCAGACAAACAGCCAUGCACAGCAUUAUUGUUAAAGCCUCCUUGGCUUUAGUUAUAUAUUGACUUAUGAAUCAACGUGGGGAAAACAUACACCUUUAUACAACUACCUUAGAUCCCAUGAAUAUGCUAUCUCCAUUUUAGAUUUCUAUCCCACCAGUGUACUUGCUAGAUUCAUCCCUAAACGUCUGCUUUUGAUGUUAUUAGAAAAACUAUUACUAAAAUUACAAAUGAGUUUUCCUGACUUUCUAUCUAUCUGGCUAAACUCACAUUUUAGUUCUAGUGCCUUUUUGGGGAGUCAUUGGAAGUUUUUAGUAAAUGAUAAUCUAGUAUGUCAACAGGUCACAUCCUUGACUCUCAGUGAUGAAUUUCUACAGUUUAUGUACUUUUAAAUUUUAUUUUGUGUAUAUGAGUGUUUUAUUUGCAUGUAUGUCUAUGGGCCCCAUGCAUGCCUAAUGUCUUUGAGGUCAGGAGUCAAAAUCCUCUGGAUGGUUGGCUGUACACACUCAUGUGGGUACUGUGGACCGAAGAGCAUCCAGUACUCUCAGUGCUGAGCCACCUCUCCAGCCUGCUAUGUAUGCCCUAUUGUUACUGUUUGAGAAAGUCUAUCUAGUCCAGGAUGGACGGUCCUGGAACUCACUGUGUAGAUCAGGAUGGCCUUGAACUCAGAAAUCUCCUUCCUGCCUCUGCCUCCCAGGAGCUGGGAUUAAAGGUCUGUACCACCACACCUGGCCUAUGUAUACACUUUUUAAAAAAUUUUAUGGAUGAGUACACUGUCACUGUCUUCAGACACACCAGAAGAGGGCAUUGGAUCUCAUUACAGAUGGUUGUGAGCCACCAUGUGGUUGCUGGGAAUUGAACUCAGGACCUCUGGAAGAGCAGUCGGGUGCUCUUAACCGCUGAGCCAUCUCUCCAGCUGGUGUAUGCAUCUUUUUUUCUUUUUUCUUUUUCUUUUUUUUCGGAGCUGGGGACCGAACCCAGGGCCUUGCGCUUGCAAGCGCUCUACCACUGAGCUAAAUCCCCAACCCCUGGUGUAUGCGUCUUUAAAGAUAAAAUCUCUCAAAGUCUACACUGAUGUUUUUAAUUAAAACUGAUGCUUACAGCUUUGGUUUUCAGACGGCUUCUCCAGUGGCCUAAGCUGACGUUAAACACUCUACACAGCUGAGGAUAAAUACUGAAUUACAAGUUUUAUGCAUGCUAGGCAAGCACUUUACAAACGAUCUCAAACUGUUCCAAAUUUAGCCAACAAGAACCCUACCCACAGGGUUGGGGAUUUAGCUCAGUGGCAGACGCAAGGUUCGGUCCCCAGCUCCAAAAAAAAAAAAAGAACCCUACCCACUAGCCUUUACAAGGUCUUCACUUAACAUUAUAUAUUUUUUAAUGUAUUUUGUAUAUAAGCUUGUGUACCAGUCAGUCAGAGAACAAUUUGCAGGAAUUAGGUCUCUCCUUCCAUCAUGUGGGUCCCAGGGAUUGAACUCAGACCAGCAGGUUAGGAGCAAAGGGUCUUCACCUGCUGAACCAUCACCAGCCUAAUACUUUUUUAUUCUCCCUGACUGCCCAGCAUUUGGGAGGCAGAGGUAGAUCUCUAUGAGUUCAAGGCCAGCUUACUCUACAUAGCUGAGUUCCAAGAUAACCAGGACUAUGUUGAAACCCUGUUUCAAAUACACACACACACACACACACACACACACACACACACACACACACACACACACACACACACAAAACCAAAAAGCAACCAUACAAAAUUAUGUUUUAAAUCGUGUGUACGCAUGUGUUUGUAUGAGUGUGUAUGUAGAUGGCCUGCAGAGCCCAGAAGAUGGCACCAGUUCCUCUGGAGUAGUUACAGGCACCAGAGAGCUGCCAGACUUGAUGCUAGGAACUAAACUCAAGUCCUCUGUAAGAGCAGUGUGCACUCUUCUUUUUUUUUUUUUGGUUCUUUUUUUUCGGAGCUGGGGACCGAACCCAGGGCCUUGCGCUUCCUAGGCAAGCGCUCUACCACUGAGCUAAAUCCCCAACCCCAGAGCAGUGUGCACUCUUAACCAGUGAGCCAUUUCUAUAGUCCAUGAUUUUAGAUGUAUUUUUUUUCUUUUUUCUUUUUUUUUUUUUUUUUCGGAGCUGGGGACUGAACCCAGGGCCCCACUACCACUGAGCUAAAUCCUCAACCCUAGAUGUAUUUUAUGCAACAUUAAGUGCUUGCCUGCACCACACUCAUGCCUUAUUCCUGAGGAGGCCAGAAGGCAUUGGAUCCCCUAGAACUAGAGUUAUAGAUGGUUUUAAACUACUGUGGGUUACAAAAAAUGUACCUAGGUCCUCUGCAAGAACAGCAAGUGCUCUUCAGUGCUGUGCGGACCACCUCUCCUUUGUUUUGUUUGACCUAGCAUUUCUAUUUGUUUUCUACAUUGAGAUUCUAGAUUCUGAAGGACACAAAGCAUGAUAAAGAGAAUGCCUUACAAUGUUCAUCCAAGACUCUUAAGAUAACAAGACCAGUAAUACUGCCACUGAGAACAAGAUUAAACCUUUCCUGGUUGCUGCCCAGUGCAGGGUUGGCUGAUUCAAGAUUCAGCUUCAUAAAAAACCCAUGACUGUGGCUGCUGAAGGUAUUAAUGGAUGUUAAUACAAGUUAAUUUAAAAGUUAUCAAAAGGCUAAUGAGAUAAAUUGUUCAUUAGCUAAAAGUGCUUGCUGCUAAGCCUGACUGAGUUCAAUCACUGGGUCCAACAUGGUAAAAGAAGGCAAACAGCCCCUUCCAUCACCACCCACACACAAAUACAUAAGAUAAAUUAUUCCUGCCUACAAAAUUCUAGCUAAUAUAGACAAAAUGAGGGCAUUAUGAAAUUGUUUUUUUUUAAACUACUGUCUUUUUCAAGCAAGAGUCCUCAAAGGUUCUAAAGGAGUCCAUCUGAUGAAGUACCAAGGAACAGAUGAUUUCAUCUCAAAGUGUUUCCAUGUAAAAUACAUGUCUUAGGUCAGGCUCUGUGGAAUCAAAUGUUGUGCUAGCUAUUUUUUAUUUUAUUUUGUCAAUUUAAGAUUAAUAUGAGAAGAGGGAGCUACAGUUAAGAAGCUGUCUCUGGAAGGCUGGCCUGUAAGUCUUUUCUUAAGUAGCAAUUCAUGAAGGAGCUUAGCAAGGCAAUGAAAGUGUUCCUCCUCCUUGGCCUCUGCUUCAGCUGCUGCCCUGACUUCUUUCUGUAAACUGCUUUUGGUUCUGGUGUUUAUUUCAUCACAGCAUUAGAAACUCUUACUAAGGCAGAAGGCAGCGGCUGAGACAGCUAGAGGGGCUGCCUGUUUUCUAGGGGAAACGUAACAGGACAGAAGGGUGAAGUAAAGCAGAACAGAGCCAGGUUCCUGCAAUGAUAAAGCAGGGAGCUCUGCAGAGAGCAGCCCAGCUCCAGCUCUCUGGUACUGCAAGCAGGCUGUGCCCACCCGCCCGCCUGGAAGGGUGUGACCUUGGUGAGGCAUCACCAAGCUUGGCUGCAGCCUGCUGACUGCACUUGCCACAGCUGAGCCGCAAGUCCUUCCUCGAAGGCAAAUCUGCAUGGUGGAACUGAGUCUACCACAACCCCCAACAACAAGGAAACCUGCACCUUUGACAGAUGAAAAGCCUGGCACACAUCAUCUCAAGCAGUGACCAAAGUUAAAAAGUGACAGCUUCCCUUCUGCUGCACUCCUGCUCCAGGCUGCUCUAGCCAAUCAUGAGGAAACUUCAGAUAAACCCAAUUGAAGGACAUCCUACUCAGCAUGCCUGUGAUUUGAAAAAUGUCACCGUUACACCACUUCAGAUUAAGGCACUAGAGGACAGUUAUAAUUUGUGAUCCCACUCCCCACUUUUUUAUUUGCAGUUUUGUGGCUCAAAACAAGGGUCUUGCAAAUCCUCACAACCAACUCUGUUUUAUGAGAUGGGAACUCACUAUGUAGUAAAGACUGACCUUGCACUCACCAUGAACUCACAACUCAAAGGGCUCUUGAGUCACUACACAGAAGCUGGCCUUGAAAUCACAAUCCUGUCUCCCUGAGUGCUGAGAUUGAAGGCAUGGACUACUAUGGCUACUUUACCCAUCUUUAACGUGUAACCCUAACUGGAUGGUGGAGCAGGGGGAAGAAGAAAGUUAUGGUGUUUGCAGAAAAAGGGACUCAAGUGGAUAAUCACAUUAUGCAAAUUAAGCCAACACAUAAUGACAAAUGUUCUCUCUCAUUUAAGGUUCAAACAUAACAGCAGAAAUAAACAGGGACAAAGAAUAACGAGAAUUGUGACAUUAGGAGAAGAUGCUCAAAUACAAUAUUGUGUGUGUGUGUGUGUGUGUGUGUGUGUAUACGUACGUACGUAUGUACAAAAGCUUGGGAAAAAAAAUCUUAAUAGUUACAGUGAAGGGACCUGGCACCCACAGCUUACUCUCAAACACUAGGAGACAAUGACUGAAGAAAGCAGUAAGGGAGAAAUGACAGCAUGCAGGAAUUCUGGGUGAGGUUUCAGGAAAUUUUUCCCAUCAUUCUUCCCUAGUGAAAGUGCAAGGCCAGGCUUUAGCUCACUGAGCAGUGCUUGCAAAGCAGGCACUAAGCCUAGCUUCCACCCAGCACCUCGGAAGACAAGACAGAUAAUCGAGGUAAACGCAUAAAGGAAACGCAAUUUUACCCAUGUGUCCUCCAAUCCUGGACAGUGAGUGAGGCACAGUCUGGUUCUCUCUUCUGGUCUUUUACCAGUUCUCCCAUCUUCCCAUGAUCUGAGGCACCUUUACCAUAUUCUAGGUUUUUAUAAGUAUUGUCUAUUUCUAAACCCCACACUCUGUUCCACUGCCAAUUCACUUCCCCACUAACUAGAGUACAUAAUUUUUAAAUACACUUCCCCGCUAACUAGAAUACACAAUUUUUAAAUACACUUCCCCGCUAACUAGAAUACACAAUUUUUAAAUACACUUCCCCGCUAACUAGAAUACACAAUUUUUAAAUACACUUCCCCGCUAACUAGAAUACACAAUUUUUAAAUACACUUCCCCGCUAACUAGAAUACACAAUUUUUAAAUACACUUCCCUGCUAACUAGAAUACACAAUUUUUAAAAGUAUACUGUUUUGGAGCAGUUUUAGGUGCCCAACAAACAUAAGAGAAAGCAAAGUUGUCGCGUGCCCCUCAUCGCCAUGCAGAGCAGGAAUCUGCCGCAGAGCAGGGUGCUUUAGUGCACAACCUUGAUCAUUCCACUGCUCAGGAUGGAGAGGCACGAGGCUCUCUGAGAGCUGACAGCCAGGUUCGUCUACAAAGUAAGUUCCAGGGUAGGCAGGCUAUUCAGUAAGAACCCAUCUCUGUCUUUCUUGAGGCUGUGUUGUUAAGAGUAGAAACUCCCAACUGUAGAAAGGGAACCUUGGCCUGGGUGGAAACCUAACAUUCAGGCUGAGCUGGUUCGGUCACUGGCUAAGGGCACACCCCACUCACUUUAAGUCGUGUUAACAAAACAGAAGAAUCAGUUCUUUAAUGAGAUACUGGAUAUUUCUUUCCCAGAAUCCCUGACCCUGAUAUAGAAACUUAUGGGUGGCAGGGGGAUUCUUUUUUUUUUUUUUUUUUGGUUCUUUUUUUCCGGAGCUGGGGACCGAACCCAGGGCCUUGCGCUUCCUAGGCAAGCGCUCUACCACUGAGCUAAAUCCCCAACCCGGGCAGGUGGAUUCUUAAGUCUGCCAACUUUUUUCAAUUUCUCUAGAAAAUUGGAACCUUUCUUCUUUCCACCUUUUUUCCUAAGCCUGCUUUCCUUAAGUUUGGGCUUUUGUCUCAACAUUUAUGGCUUUCUGGUCCUUUCUCACAGCCAUGUUGUCUGUCCUCCAUUUGCCUCCUCCAGGCAGCUGCUGAGAUUUACAGCCUGCCUGCCUUGUAGUUUCUCUUUUAAACAUUAAUAAACCUUGUCUUUGUGUUUUAUUUGAGUCCAUUCUUGAAUUCUGAAUGAUGAGGCUAAGAACUCCAAGGGGACCCCAGUUUUCUCUGUAUCACCGUCCAAAAAAAAAAAGGUCUGGUGAGGAAACACGAGGCCUUGGUUGAGAGGUCUUACCCAGCGGUCUUGAGACUUCUCCUAGUCCUAGUUUGCUCUGUUUUAUUUUUCCCUACUCUAGGCUCUAGAAAUACUGCAAUAACUGUACGUAGUGCUCAGGUGAGAAACACAACCGUCAGACACAUACAUGCUGCUAGGAGAGUGUGAGACACUGCAGUAAAAGUCUGGACAAGGGAGCUGUUAUGUGCAGAGGAGUCAGAAGGGCCCCUCUGUGGGUGCCUGAGCAGGGUGGAGGGGUGGCACUACUGCAGGAAUAAACCUGAGAAUAAACCUCAGGUAACUGUGCCUGGACUGACAAGUAGACUAUUUAUUUGAAGCAUAAAAAACAAAGUCGGGGCAGUAGGCCAUACAGAGAGCUAAGCUCACUGAGCCAACUGGAAAACUGGAAAACUACUGGAGACUGUGAAGCAGAGGUUUAAUAAGCCUGAUUUUGACUUUAAAAGAUGCAAUCUAGCUACCGGGAGGCUAGCAAAGGAAUUGUGUAAGGGCAAGCUAUGAAAGACUCCUACACAUCUCUGAUGUUAGCACCUUAAUGAGGGAGAGGCAGAUGGAGCUCUUGUGAAUGCAAGACCUCAUGGUCUAUAUAAAGACUUCUAAGCUAUCCAGAGCUAAAUCAUGCGAGCCUGUCUCAAAACAAAAACAACAAAAAGUUAUGUGUAUAUGAUACUGAUUGUGCCCACUGUCUUACUUAAGGUCUCUGUAGCUGUGCCGAAACACCAUGACCAAAAGUAACUUUGGGAGGGAGGGGCUUAACUGGCAUACAUUUCUACAUCCCAGUCCAUCACUGAAGAAAGUCAGGACUAAACUCAAACAGGGCAUGUGCUGAUAACACAUGCCAAGAAGGAGUGCUGCUCAUGGCUCGCUCCUCAUAGCUUGCUCAGCCUGCUUUCUUAUAGAACCCAGGGCCACCAAUCCAGGAAUGGAGCCACCCACCACGGGCUGGGCCCUGCCCUAUAAAUCACUAAUUAAGAAAAUGCCCUACAGGCUUGCCUACAGCAGGAUCUUCUGGAGGCAUCUUAAUUAAGGCUCCCUUUUCUCAGAUAAGUUGUGUCAAGUUGACAUAAAAAUACCCAGCAUCGUCAACAAGGUUUUAUGUUUCUUUAAAAAAAUUUUUUUGUAUUUAUUCAUUUUAUGUAUAUGGAUACACUAUAGCUGUCUUCAGACACACCAGAAGAGGGCAUCAGAUUUCUUUACAGAUGGUUGUGAGCCACCAUGUGGUUGCUGGGAAUUGAACUCAGGACCUCUGGAAGAGCAGUCAGUGUUCUUAACCGCUGAGCCAUCUCUCCAGCCCACCAAUAGUUCUUAAAUACUUAUAGGAAACGUAUCAGUUAUUCCUUGAAAAAUCAAAAUACAGACUGAGCUUUCGGACACAGUUUACAAUCUCAGCACUCAGGAGGAAGCAGGGAGGCUAUAGUGAGUUUGAGGCCACCUUGGACUACAAAAUCAGACCCUUGUAUCAAAAUACAUGUUUAAAAAGGCCAACCACUACAAAAUUCCUUUUUGUUUUAAAAUAUUAAUUUUCAAGAUCUGGUUUUCUAUCUUACAGAAAUCUAUCCUGAAAUGUAGUCACUGUUAUUCUUAACCUUUUUAUUUCAAUAUGUAAAAAUCGGUGGUCCUCCUCUGACCAGGAACACGUAAAUCUACAUUGCUUCCAGGAAGAGCAUGAAGUGUUUUUUUUGUUUUUUUUGGUCUUUUUUUUUUUGGUCUUUUUUUCGGAGCUGGGGACCGAACCCAGGGCCUUGUGCUUCCUAGGCAAGCGCUCUACCGCUGAGCUAAAUCCCCAGCCCCGAGCAUGAAGUGUUAACCAUAUUUAAACUGCACAUGAUGAUGAUGUGGGGCUCCUUCUCUUAGACAGCACAUAUAACUCUGACACUACCAGCAGUUUAAUAACAAAAUCGGUACAUUGUUGCAAUAUAAUACUAAAAAAAAGAUCUAGAUGAGAAAAACUAUGAAAAUUGAGUGAAAAGUGUUCCUAUACUUUAAAAAAAGAGGAGGAGGAAGAGGAGGAGGAAGAGGAGGAGGAGGAGGAGGGGGAGAAAAUACUUUAAAAAACAAAAACACUGAACUGGCCCAUACCUUUAAUGCCAGCACUCAGGAGGCAGAGGCAGACCGAUAUCUGAGUUUCAGGCCGGCCUGGACUACAUAGUGAGCCUGAGUCAAAAGGUAACAAAAUUAAACCAAACCCAGGUCCUCUACAAGAACAGCAAGAGCUCUUAACUACUCCUGGGCCAUCGUCCAAGCGCUGUGAUCUUACCCCAUUAUAAAUGUGGAGAUGCUGUGAAAGACACAGAUAUAAGUUGAGAAAGUAAAGUCCCUCUUCCUAGAUCUCUACUUGAAGUUCGCUCCCUCCUUGGAGAAACCACACUACUCUUCUAAAGGUUUCCUUAGAAGUAAAAUAGAAGAGCUGCAUUAUAUCAUCUCUAAAAUCUCAACUUCUAAAUUCUAUAACCUACUUGCUCAAGAACAUAUACAUGUCUACUCCUACAGCUUAAAAUGACUGACAAGUGCUCUGAUGAAUGCUGGAAAUCUGAAAAAAGAGCCGUAUUAGCUAGGGAUGCCCUUGGUGGUAGAACGCCUACCUAGCACACAAGGUUUUGGGUUUGAACUCCAGCAGGCAAGCAAGCAAACAAAUCAUGUCUAAUUAGUAUUCUCGAAUAUUAGCUUUGGAAAGGAAAAAAUUAAAGGGGAAUUCCAAUCUAAAACUAAAACCAAAUAUUCCUGGUUCUUCUCUAUCACUAUCUGAAAGAAUCGCUUAGUUGAAUCACUUCUUAGUCAACUUUGUACUCAGUAAGGUCCUUCCACAUGGUUCAGUCUCACUUCCUACAUCUGCACACAGCCUCCUGUUUUGGGACACUGAGAAAGACGGGGGUAAAGGAAACACUCCCUCUGUGCCCACGAGCACCCAACACUUCUCUAUUCAUAUUCUUUUCCGUUUAUGUGUAGACACACAGUGGAUCAAGGGGCUUACUGCCAAGCCUGAUGACCUGAGUUCAGCUACUCCCAACACAGAGUAGAAACCAAGAACCAACUCCCAGAAGUCUGAUUUCACAGACACGCACACACAAACACAUAGGAAAUGUAAAAAUGAAAUAGACUGAUACAAUAAAAAUGGACUGGACUUCUCAUCUCACUGUGGGUUAUUUUUUAAUAAAAACUAUUUUCAAGGUAAGCUGUGCAAUCUGAACAUAAUUCACAUAUUCACUGUUCCUUCAGGAACUUUAAUUUCAAAACUAUAAGGGAAAAGGGGUUAGGGGAGGGCAUGCCCUUGAUCCCAACAGAGGAUCUUUGGGAUCAGAGGACUUUGAGUUCAAAGUCAGCUUGGUCUACAAAGCAAGUUCCAGGACAUCCAGGGAUACACUGAGAGACCCUGUCUCAAAAUUAAAACAAUAAGAACAAACAUUUAAACAAAGUCAAUUCUUUUUUUUAAGAUUUUUAAAAAUUUUAUGUAUAUGAGUACACUAUAGCUGCCCUCAAACAUACCAGAAGAGGGUAUCAGAUCCCAUUACAGUGAGCCACCAUGUGGUUGCUGGGAAUUGAACUCAGGACCUCUGAAGAGCAGUCCUUGCCAUCUCUCCAGCCCAACAGAGACAAUUCUAAUUUAACAAUUUUAGCAAACAUUUUGGUAUUCAAAAAGAGGAGUCUAAAUCAUUACAUACAACAAAUUUACUAUUUGGAAAGGUAUUCCAUAAUUAAUUUACUCAGAGUCUAGCUGUAGAGAUAACUGUUCUAAAAAAUAGUUUUGUUUGGGUCCACUGACAGGGCUCAGCAGGUAAAGCAACUGGCAUGCAGACUACCUCAUAGCUGUGGUAGAACGAACCUGACUCCACCAAGCUGACCUCUGACCUCCGCAAGUGAGGCUUGGCCUGUGUACAUCCUUGUCCGCGCACUCACACCUUUGUGUUGCUGUUUUUGAGAUACAGCUCUGUGUGUCACUGUGUAUACCAGGCCUGCCUCUGCCUCUGCCUGUCUCCCUCGUGCUGGGACUUAAGACCCAGCAGUUUUAUUCUGAGACAGGGCUUCACUAUGAAGUCCACGCUAGUCUGGACCUCAGCUUCCCAAUAGUAAGAUGGCAGGUGUACGCUGUGUCUUCUUUUUUUUUUUUUUGGUUCUUUUUUUCGGAGCUGGGGACCUGGGGACCAAACCCAGGGCCUUGCGCUUCCUAGGUAAGUGCUCUACCACUGAGCUAAAUCCCCAGCCCCACGCUGUGUCUUCUAAAUCAAAUGUUCUAAGCAGCAAAGCAAUUUCCUAACGAUGCUGUCAUUUAAAAACCUGCCAGAAACUGGAGCUACUUCAGGGCCUUCUAUGUACAGAACUUGGGUUUUAACCAAGUACCUGAUUCAGAGUUGGCCAAGUCCAGAGCCACCAUCGAGGUCUAGACACUACCGUUUUUGAGUGAUCAUUGUUUUUCAUUCUUGUAUUUACCUCAUAUGUUUUUCCCCAAAGAAUAUCUGUCCUUCAGACAACUGAGGACUGUGUCUGAAAAUUAAAACCACAUCAUUUUUGGGAAACCAAGGGGCUGCUUUUUCCUAGGGCUUUAUUUGAUAAUGCUGAUGGGAGACAAACAGUAAAAGGCCAGUCAUAUAAAACACACACUCAAAGCUUACAGGCAAUUAUUUGGUGUCACCGACACAGUAAUGGCCUAGGGUGUUUUGAUGACAAGGAGUUUCCUUCCACCUUAAAGACAUCCUAUCUGAACCAAUAGGCUAAGUCAUUUAAGUAUAAUGCGAUUCUAUUCCUUUAUUCCUGGAAAUCAGGUAAGAACUAUAUGGUAAAAAAUUAAAUAAGAGGUAGAGCAAAAGUAAAAAUAAACCAAAGCCCUAAAACUAAAGGUAUAAACAAUACAAACCUACGAAAUAAACAGUUAAAAAAAAUUGAGCUUGCAUCUCUCAUUCAAUUCCUUGUAUCUCAAAACACUGGUGUAUGUCCAGCAUUGAGACUCCCAGACUAAUAUUAAAAAGGGUCAAACACUGCCCAAACCAGAGGCUGGCACUUCGUGUCCCCUCACUGCAGACCUCGGAGACACACCUCCCUCCCAGGCCCCGGAGGCUGCUCUUCAGCUUACGCGCUUCUUCUCGCGCAGUUUGAGAUCAACAAUCUGGGAGAAAAAGAUUUUUUUGUGCGUGUGUGUAUGUUUAAGCCAAAUUGACCUCACAAACCGUCUCUGAAGGGGGAUUUCUCUAGUUCAAAAGGAAGGGCCUUUGUGAGCAUUCCGUCACAGAAGGGUGGGAGCCCCAAGGCGACGGCAGCCACCCGGAAGCUCGGAACGUGGGCGGCGCGCAGGCCCGAACUCGGGACCCCACGAGCAGCGAGCCGCUGGCCGGAACCCUCGCACAGGGGCCUCACCGCCGGGAACCGCGGGCCGGAACCCUAGGACGUGGAGCCCACCGGCUGGGGAAGCGCAGGCCGCUCCGCGGGAUAAGAACGCAGCGCCCUGGCCUCGGCCUGCCUCCCGCGACCCGGCCCGCCGCCCGCGCCUCCCGUACUCACUCACGCACAGCUCCACCACGUACGCGUAGUAGGACCAGACGACCACAAAGAUUCUUCAGUACCCAUACCAGUCGGGCUCCAUAUUACAUAAGGCCGUACUUCACUCUAGCGUGCAAGCAAGAAAAGUAUUAGAUAUAUUAAAAUAUAAGACUCCUGUGA